ensembl:ncRNA C05C8.10 ncRNA
ACUUAAUUGUUGUAAAUAGGCGGAAUAAGUUACAAGAAAAGAAAAAUCAAAACUUUUGAAUUCAAAAGCACUACACGUGGAAGGAAAAGAAGGAAGCAACGACCGUCUUGCAAGUGUCUCCUUCCACUCAUCUAGUUUAUUCCGUUCUCGGUGGCUACCGCCACAUCUCCUCUUCAGGUUUUGUUGCCGCGCAGUCCGAAGC